AGUGUCUCAAAAUUUGUAAUGUCGUUAACCUCACCUGUCUGGCUCCAAAUCACAGUCAACCACUAUGGAACAGUUUUGAUUUUUCAUAUUUUUGCCUUUAACCGAAAUGUUUUGAUAUCAUGAUAACCUAGACCAACAUGACCGAUUUCGACAUAAUUCAUGAGAUAUUAAGUGAAAUCACUCUUGUUCAUUGGACAGGAUUAGCGAUCUUUCUUUUGCUGGGUUGUUUUCCGACACUAAUUCCAGACAUUUUAAUCUACAUCAUAUCGUGGUGUUCCGAUGUUACGUUGUCUCUUUCAAAUAACAUCAAGAAAAGCCUACUAAACAUCCUCACAUUUUUCGUAUUCGUCUUGUCUUUAGUGUUCUUUAUGGUUGACUUCUCUCCCGUGCAAGAUAAAAUUGAAGAAUGGAAGGGGUCAUUCACCGCUAACUCACUGGACGUUCCUGAUACGCUGAGUGGCAGAGUUGGACGACGUUUUUCAAGAGCUAUGUCUAUUGUUCCUCCAUCUUCUUCCAUGCUAAGACUUUAGAACUGAGGCAUAAAUGGCAUAGUUUGCCAUUAGACAAUGGAGAUGUAUCUUCAAGCACUGAGGCACCUCCGGCCUGUCGGGGGCCGUCACAUCACGUGACGCGAGUGGCACUGCCGGCGGACGAUGGGAUCAGUCUGCCGAUUCAGACCGCGGACCGCUGCGAAUGGGACGGACUGUGGAGGGCGCAGUCCGAUCGCCUGCACCUGCUGAUGAACGAGCGAGGGCGAAGCAGGGAGUGAUGGGACGCCGGUGAAGUCACGCCAGCCAGCAGCGGUCCAUUGCGGGAGGUCGAACGGAGGACGUUUGCCAAGGCGAGACGGCAGGCACGGAUUCAAUUUCGACUUAUGCAGUGCAGUGUUCCAUCUCAGAUCUACCGAUGGUGUUCCAUAAUGUGUGCUGAGCAGUGAUUCACAUGGGCAAAAAUAAUGCAUUUUUCGGUUAUACCUGACGAAAUGUCGUGUACCUACUAUCUUCUGUCGAUUUUGAUACCCAUGUUCCGAAAAAAUGUGAAUAAAUAUAAAACCCGAAACGCGCCCCAAA
rnacentral:lncRNA from 1 species